rnacentral:tRNA from 1 species
UGGGGUAUCGUCCAAUGGCAGGACUUCGGUUUCUGGUUCCGACUAUCGAGGUUCGAAUCCUUGUACCCCAA